UAAGACGAAGGUGGCGAGCGUUGUUCGGAAUCACUGGGCAUAAAGCGCACGUAGGCGGUGGCGUAAGUCGGGUGUGAAAUCCCUCGGCCUAACCGAGGAACUGCGCCCGAUACUGCGUUGCUUGAGGACCAAAGGGGUGCAUGGAAUUUCCGGUGGAGCGGUGAAAUGCGUUGAUAUCGGAAGGAACGUCGGCGGCGAAAGCGGUGCACUGGUUGGUCUCUGACGCUGAGGUGCGAAAGCCAGGGGAGCAAACGGGAUUAGAUACCCCGGUAGUCCUGGCCGUAAACGAUGGGUACUAGGUAGGGGGGUUCCAAACGCCUCUCUGCUGGAGUGAAUAUCUUAAGUACCCCGCCUGGGAAGUACAGUCGCAAGGCUG
rnacentral:rRNA from 1 species